AUAGUAAAUAGAAAUCCACAUAUAUGCUGAAGGAUUGGCUUCAGUGUUUCUACCAGGACACCGUAAUGUCUGGACUAUGGGGAAAAGUGAAUUU
rnacentral:ncRNA from 1 species